AGUUUGCAGGCAGCGCGCAGCGCGCGGACCCUCCCCCACCCGGACCGUCUGCUGCUACAUCAGCUGCUCGGUUUCAUUUCACGGCUGAGCGGUGAAACUCCUCCAGUCUGCUUCUCCAUCCUGCACGGCUCUCACUCCCCCAGACUCACCCUCUCACUCCCUCAGACUCUCACUCCCCCAGACUCUCACCCUCUCACUCCCCCAGACUCUCACUCCCCCAGACUCUCACCCUCUCACCCUCUCACUCCCUCAGACUCUCACCCUCUCACUCCCUCAGACCCUUACCCUCUCACCCUCUCACUCCCCCAGACUCUCACCCUCUCACUCCCUCAGACUCUCACCCUCUCACUCCCUCAGACUCACCCUCUCACUCCCUCAGACCCACCCUCUCACUCCCUCAGACUCACCCUCUCACUCCCUCAGACUCACCCUCUCUCUCCCUCAGACUCUCACCCUCUCACUCCCUCAGACUCUCACCCUCUCACUACCCCAGACUCUCACCCUCUCACUCCCUCAGACUCUCACCCUCUCACUCCCUCAGACUCACCCUCUCACUCCCUCAGACUCUCACCCUCUCACUACCCCAGACUCUCACCCCCUCACUACCCCAGACUCUCACCCUCUCACUCCUCUAGACUCUCACCCUCUCACUCCCCCAGACUCUCACCCCCUCACUACCCCAGACUCUCACCCUCUCACUCCUCUAGACUCUCACCCUCUCACUCCCCCAGACUCUCACCCUCUCACUCCCUCAGACUCUCACCCUCUCACUCCCCCAGACUCUCACCCUCUCACUCCCUCAGACUCUCACCCUCUCACUCCCUCAGACUCUCACCCUCUCACUCCCUCAGACUCACCCUCUCACUCCCUCAGACCCACCCUCUCACUCCCUCAGACUCACCCUCUCACUCCCUCAGACUCACCCUCUCUCUCCCUCAGACUCUCACCCUCUCACUCCCUCAGACUCUCACCCUCUCACUACCCCAGACUCUCACCCUCUCACUCCCUCAGACUCUCACCCUCUCACUCCCUCAGACUCACCCUCUCACUCCCUCAGACCCACCCUCUCACUCCCUCAGACUCACCCUCUCACUCCCUCAGACUCUCACUCCCUCAGACUCUCACCCUCUCACUCCCUCAGACUCUCACCCUCUCACUCCCUCAGACUCUCACCCUCUCACUCCCUCAGACUCUCACCCUCUCACUCCCCCAGACUCUCACCCUCUCACUACCCCAGACUCUCACCCCCUCACUACCCCAGACUCUCACCCUCUCACUCCUCUAGACUCUCACCCUCUCACUCCCCCAGACUCUCACCCUCUCACUCCCUCAGACUCUCACCCUCUCACUCCCUCAGACUCUCACCCUCUCACUCCCUCAGACUCUCACCCUCUCACUCCCUCAGACUCACCCUCUCACUCCCUCAGACCCACCCUCUCACUCCCUCAGACUCACCCUCUCACUCCCUCAGACUCACCCUCUCUCUCCCUCAGACUCUCACCCUCUCACUCCCUCAGACUCUCACCCUCUCACUACCCCAGACUCUCACCCUCUCACUCCCUCAGACUCUCACCCUCUCACUCCCUCAGACUCACCCUCUCACUCCCUCAGACCCACCCUCUCACUCCCUCAGACUCACCCUCUCACUCCCUCAGACUCACCCUCUCUCUCCCCCAGACUCUCACCCUCUCACUCCAUCAGACUCUUACCCUCUCACUACCCCAGACUCUCACCCUCUCACUACCCCAGACUCUCACCCUCUCACUACCCCAGACUCUCACCCUCUCACUCCCUCAGACUCUCACCCUCUCACUACCCCAGACUCUUACCCUCUCACUACCCCAGACUCUCACCCUCUCACUCCCUCAGACUCUCACCCUCUCACUCCUCUAG
ensembl:lncRNA